rnacentral:rRNA from 1 species
UACGUAGGGGGCAAGCGUUGUCCGGAUUUAUUGGGCGUAAAGAGCGUGUAGGCGGCCAUGUAGGUCCGUUGUGAAAACUCGAGGCUCAACCUCGAGACGCCGAUGGAAACCAUGUGGCUAGAGUCCGGAAGAGGAGAGUGGAAUUCCUGGUGUAGCGGUGAAAUGCGCAGAUAUCAGGAAGAACACCAAUGGCGAAGGCAGCUCGCUGGGACGGUACUGACGCUGAGACGCGAAAGCGUGGGGAGCGAACAGG